UGCUGUUUAUUGGUACACAAACUUCUACAAACCUUUAUAAACUUCUACAAAAAAUCAUCAAACCACGUGCUGUUUAUUGGUACACAAACUUCUACAAACCUUUAUAAACUUCUACAAAAAAUCAUCAAACCACGUGAGACAGUGCUGUUUAUUGGUACACAAACUUCUACAAACCUUUAUAAACUUCUACAAAAAAUCAUCAAACCACGUGAGACAGUGCUGUUUAUUGACAUACGAAAUUCUACAGACUAUAGGAAACAUCAUUAAACAGCGUGAAACAGUGUUAUACAACAUUACAAACACACCUUGCACGAUAUUUGUCGUGACACAUCCUGUUCCGAGUGUAAUCGAGCGAACCGUCGAAAUCAUGCGCUAAUUUAACCAUCAGCCCUGUCCAACGCGAAAUUCUGAGCCACCUGUCUAAU